rnacentral:rRNA from 2 species
UCCGGGGGUAGAGCACUGUUUCGGCUAGGGGGCCAUCCCGGCUUACCAACCCGAUGCAAACUGCGAAUACCGGAGAAUGUUAUCACGGGAGACACACGGCGGGUGCUAACGUCCGUCGUGAAGAGGGAAACAACCCAGACCGCCAGCUAAGGUCCCAAAGUCAUGGUUAAGUGGGAAACGAUGUGGGAAGGCCCAGACAGCCAGGAUGUUGGCUUAGAAGCAGCCAUCAUUUAAAGAAAGCGUAAUAGCUCACUGGUCGAGUCGGCCUGCGCGGAAGAUGUAACGGGGCUAAACCAUGCACCGAAGCUGCGGCAGCGACACUGUGUGUUGUUGGGUAGGGGAGCGUUCUGUAAGCCUGUGAAGGUGUGUCGUGAGGCAUGCUGGAGGUAUCAGAAGUGCGAAUGCUGACAUAAGUAACGAUAAAGCGGGUGAAAAGCCCGCUCGCCGGAAGACCAAGGGUUCCUGUCCAACGUUAAUCGGGGCAGGGUGAGUCGACCCCUAAGGCGAGGCCGAAAGGCGUAGUCGAUGGGAAACGGGUUAAUAUUCCCGUACUUGGUGUUACUGCGAAGGGGGGACGGAGAAGGCUAUGUUGGCCGGG